CUCACCUCUGUCUGACCUCUGUCUGACCUGCACGGAUCAUCUGUCUCCUGCUUUGCCUUUUUCUGUAUUUUGACCUCCGCGAGACUCCGUCUGUCCUCCUCCCUGUAGGUAGCGUCUCUGGAGUGCAUCUUUGACGGUUCCUCAGCGUUAGGACAGCAGCACGUCCCGGAACUCCCCUCCCCUACGCCCUCCACCCUCUAUAGCCACGGCGAGGACAGCCCCCUCCCCUCCUGCUCCGCCAACCCUUACCCCCCAAUCCAGCAGGCAGAGGCCACCCCGCCCUCCUCUCCCAUAAUCCCUGUGAUCCCAGUCUCGCCAAUCGCAGCCGAGACCACCAUCAUCCCUCCGACGUCACAGGUUUCUUUUUGUUUUGCUUUUUAUUUUCCUCCACUUCUCUGUCCUCCAUCUUUAGCUUUACCUCCCGGUGUGUUUAUUUGUUUGGCUGCUG
rnacentral:lncRNA from 1 species